rnacentral:rRNA from 1 species
AACGAACGCUGGCGGCAUGCCUAACACAUGGAAGUCGAACGAGACCUUCGGGUCUAGUGGCGCACGGGUGCGUAACGCGUGGGGACCUGCCCUUAGGUUCGGAAUAACUCCCCGAAAGGGGUGCUAAUACCGGAUAAUGUCUUCGGACCAAAGAUUUAUCGCCUUUGGAUGGGCCCGCGUUGGAUUAGCUAGUUGGUAGGGUAAAAGCCUACCAAGGCGACGAUCCAUAGCUGGUCUGAGAGGAUGAUCAGCCACACUGGGACUGAGACACGGCCCAGACUCCUACGGGAGGCAGCAGUGGGGAAUAUUGGACAAUGGGCGAAAGCCUGAUCCAGCAAUGCCGCGUGAGUGAUGAAGGCCUUAGGGUUGUAAAGCUCUUUUACCCGGGAUGAUAAUGACAGUACCGGGAGAAUAAGCUCCGGCUAACUCCGUG